rnacentral:rRNA from 1 species
UACGUAGGGUGCAAGCGUUAAUCGGAAUUACUGGGCGUAAAGCGUGCGCAGGCGGUGAUGUAAGACAGAUGUGAAAUCCCCGGGCUCAACCUGGGAACUGCAUUUGUGACUGCAUCGCUGGAGUGCGGCAGAGGGGGAUGGAAUUCUCGGUGUAGCGGUGAAAUGCGUAGAUAUCGAGAGGAACACCUGCGGCGAAGGCGGGUUGCUGGGCUGACACUGACGCUGAUGCGCGAAAGCCAGGGGAGCGAACGGG